UUUUGAGGGUUUUGUGAGGGUGGGGCAAAAAUUCGAUGUUACAGUUGGAAUUUCUAAAGUUGGGAUAAUGGGUUUGGUUGAUGUUUUCUUUGGUGUGAUAAGUCUCGGUCCUGGUAUUGAAUUUUGUUAUAUUUAUGUGUUUUCCGUUUCCCUGCCAGGUACCUGGCAGUGCUGCAGAUGCAGGACCACGGCCAACUUCAUUACUGGCCUUCAACUGUUGCAGCUGCUCUUGUCAUCCUGGCUUCUUUAGAAGGCAAUCGUGAUGUGUCCUGCCAACGAGUAAUAGAGAGCCUAGAGUGGUUGUUAAAGUAUGUAUGAGAGCAUCUUAGCAGGUAAAGGAACAUGUACAUCACCAUUCUGUUUCUGAUUUCCUACUCAUCUAAAGACAUAGACGGAAGGUAGAUUGAGCUGAGCCUUCUAAAGCCUGAUCAAGAGAUGGAGAGAGGCAACAAUUGCUGAGGUUCAAGCAUUAGGGGUAGUAGUUCACUCUCAAGGUCCUUUGUUUGGAGGUGUUCAAAGAAAUGUGAAGUCUUCAAGUGACAAUGUCCUUGUUUGUUAGAGGUCUUUGGAUAGUUUGGUAUUUCUUUGUAUAUCUCAUCGCUUUGUUGUUAGCUUUAGUUUAGUGUACAACUGUAAUGUUUGAAUCUAUAAUUUUUUAUUUAAUUGUUAUAUUAUAGUAAAUGUGUAAUUUUGUUUAUAAAUAUUAUAUAAUACAUUUAUUAAACAAUAUUUUAUUUUAUUUUGUUUUUAGAAUUUUUUUUAUAACGGCCAUUAACCGUGGCCAA